rnacentral:rRNA from 1 species
UACAGAGGUCUCAAGCGUUGUUCGGAUUCAUUGGGCGUAAAGGGUGCGUAGGCGGCGGCGGAAAGUCGGGUGUGAAAUUUCGGAGCUUAACUCCGAAACUGCAUUCGAUACUGCCGUGCUUGAGGACUGGAGAGGAGACUGGAAUUUACGGUGUAGCGGUGAAAUGCGUAGAUAUCGUUAAGGAAGACCAGUGGCGAAGGCGGGUCUCUGGACAAGUUCCUGACGUGAGGCACGAAGGCCAGGGGGAGCAAAACGGGG